UUUGUGAAGAGUUUGAUCCUGGCUCAGGAUGAACGCUGGCGGCGUGCCUAAUACAUGCAAGUUGAGCGGUAAGGCUUUCACAGAUUAUUUAACCGGAUAAGUCCCUAGGGAUACUAUCCGUAACCGGAGUUUACUGGCUAGUAAACACCAGUUGAAUGAUGUGUGAAAGUACACGAGCGGCGGACGGCAGAGUAACGCGUAGGAACGUACCCCAAAGUGAGGGAUAAGCACCGGAAACGGUGUCUAAUACCGCAUAUUCUCUUCGGAGCAAAGCCUUGUGCGCUUUGGGAGCGGCCUGCGUAUGAUUAGUUAGUUGGUGAGGUAACGGCUCACCAAGACGACGAUCAUUAGCUGGUCUGAGAGGAUGAUCAGCCUGACUGGAACUGAGACACGGUCCAGACUCCUACGGGAGGCAGCAGUAGGG
rnacentral:rRNA from 1 species